rnacentral:lncRNA from 1 species
CCAUACCAAUGCAUGAAAUGGACAACAGACAUGCACAAAUUCAUUAUGUGUACAUACUACACAAUUACAAAAUUUGAAAUUGACACUACAGGAUACAGAAGGGAACUCUAUGACAAAUUCACUAGAGCUACCCAAACAUCACAGUUACAGAAUAAUGCAUACCAGAUCAAAGAAGAACCAUCAUCCACAGAAAUCUCGUACCACACAGUACAUUAGAAAACAUUAAAACUCGGGUAACACAACAAAUAUCACAACAUGAAACUGAUUAACACACACAAAUAGAACACGAAGUGGAACAGACACCAGAAAUAACAUUCAUUGACUACAACACACUGCCCAUUAACAACAUUGACACAGACCUAAUAAAUAAACUCACUGACACACUCCAGGAAACAUUGACCAAAUUCCCAGGUACAGAUCCCAUGCAACGUCCACGCAUUCCUAAACUUCACAACCCACAACACUCGAAAAAUACACUACAUUGUAUGAAAACAC